CAGACGAUGCGUCAUGCAUAUCAAUAAGCGGAGGAAAAGAAACUAACAAGGAUUCCCCUAGUAACGGCGAGUGAAGCGGGAAGAGCUCAAAUUUGAAAUCUUAAAGGGUUUCCCUUUACGAAUUGUAGUUUAAAGAAGUGUUUUCUGUUGAGGUUUUGGUAAAAGUUCUUUGGAAUAGGACAUCAUAGAGGGUGAGAAUCCCGUAUUUGACCUUUACUUUCAACUUUGUGAUACACUUUCAAAGAGUCGGAUUGUUUGGGAAUGCAGUCCAAAAUGGGUGGUAAAUUUCAUCUAAAGCUAAAUAUUGGCGAGAGACCGAUAGCGAACAAGUACCGUGAGGGAAAGAUGAAAAGAACUUUGAAAAGAGAGUUAAACAGUACGUGAAAUUGUCAAAAGGGAAGCGUUUGACACCAGUGUUGUUUUUCUGAAAAUCAAUUAAAGAACUGUUUAUGCUAAGUUGUUUAGACUUUAUCAGCUAUCUGUUUAGUUUUGAGCUUUUCUUUAAUGCACUUUUCAGUUAACAAGUCAACAUCAAUUUCUUUUGCUGUAAAAAAGCUUGAGGAGGGUGGCUUGAGAUUCGUCUUAAGUGUUUAUAGCCUCUUGCCUAUGCAGUCGGAGAGAUUGAGGUCUGCAGCGUAGAUCCUUUCGGGGCUAAAUGCAUUUGUGCUAAGUUAUAACAUUUUAUAGACAACUUGUUGACUAUGAUUUAGUCUUGUAGCUUACUCGCUUAUGUUAUUUUACCUACGCUUAGGAUGUUGAGCGCAUGUCUCUCUCU
rnacentral:rRNA from 1 species